GACAGAGGGUGCAAGCGUUGCUCGGAAUUACUGGGCGUAAAGCGCGUGUAGGUGGAUUGGUGUGUCAGAUGUGAAAGCCCUGGGCUCAACCCAGGAACAGCACCUGAAACUACCAGUCUUGAGUGGUGGAGAGGGAAGUGGAAUUCCUGGUGUAGAGGUGAAAUUCGUAGAGAUCAGGAGGAACACCAGUGGCGAAGGCGGCUUCCUGGACACUAACUGACGCUGAGACGCGAAAGCGUGGGGAGCAAACAGG
rnacentral:rRNA from 1 species